UGUGCCGGGACGCGCGGCGGGGUUGCCCGGGAGAAAGGAAGGCGCUCCAUUUCCGGGUCAAGUCCGGCUCCCGCCUCCCUCGGCGUGGGCUAUGGCGAGCGGCGGUGGCGCCGGGGCGGCGGGGGCUGCGGCGGCGGCGAACCUCAACGCGGUGAGGGAGACCAUGGACGUUCUGCUUGAGAUUUCAAAAAUUUUGAAUACUGGCUUAGAUAUGGAAACUCUGUCUAUUUGUGUACGACUUUGUGAACAAGGCAUUAACCCAGAAGCUUUGUCUUCAGUCAUUAAGGAGCUUCGCAAGGCUACUGAAGCACUAAAGGCUGCUGAAAAUACAACAAGCUGACUUUCUGGAGAAAUCUUGAUGAGAUAUGUCAAGCUCUGCGGGAGGAUUUGAAGAUAGAGCUGACUCUUAAAAAGUUGAAGAGCGACUCAUUAACAUAAAAUGAAGAAAAAGGAUGGAAAAUGAGAGAUGAUGCGAUGGAGUACAACCUAAUCAUUCAUGUAGUUCACAAACUCUUGUUGAAUGUUUGUUACAGGUCAAGGAAUGGCAGUGGAAAUGGAAACAUUCUCUCCAAAUGAAAGCAUAAUAGAGUAGGGGAGACUUAGGUGAACAAAUGUGAAGAAUUGAAAGAAUGCAUGAAAAAUGACAUGUUGGUUGCCAUGGUGAUGCUGUUACCUGGGUUCUUUCCCCUCCCAGCCUUGGCUGAUUGCCUCCCUCCCAUCAAAACCAAAACAACAGUGAAACUUGGGAGCAGGCCCGUAGUACCCACCGCCCUCUGGAACAAAGGAGAGCUCUUCUGGUGAUGGGAUGAAGGUAGAAAUGGCAUCUGCGAGCCCUCCGGCCGGCCUAUCUGCCAGCAGCAAGUUAUACCCAGUUGCCAGGUCUCUAGCUUAGUACUCUGCUGUGUACAGCAAAGAAGUCUGAUCUUGUUUGGAAUCAAGGCGAGUCAAGGGCUUUGGGAGGAUAAUCCAUUCACAUGAUGCAGUAAAUUAGUUUCAAGGAUGAUGUAAUUUCUGAGUAACUUCUCUUCCCUGGUGUGUCGACAGAAGACUUUUUUAGGUCUGCUUCUUUGUCAAGGCAACUGUAGAUUAAAAACAAACAUUUUCAAAUAAACAGGGAUCUGAUCUGGAGUAAUUUUUUUUAAGUCAAGAAACAUGAUGUUAGAUUUGCAGGAGCAUUCCUUCAGAAAGCCCCAGUGGCCCUACUUUAGGUACCUCAAGCCCUACUGCCUGUGAAAUGUGGGGCCCUGGUUGCUCACUUCACAUUUCUGUGACCCAGUUUCUGAAAUUAUGUAUCCUCAAGGAGUUAGAGUCCCAGCUCUAACAUUUUUUGCAUGAGAAACAGAGAGGUUAGAGCAGCUCACUGUCCAGUAGAAACAAACAGAACAGAACUCUGGGCCAAGGGCUCAAUGCCAUUGCCCUCACCUAGCUCUUCAGAUCUUCAGCUCUCCCUUCACUCUUCCGAGAAAGGGAAAUCCACAAAUAAGCUCUUUCUUACUGAUGCUCAUCCCAUUGCUAUCACUGCAAGUGUCCUUCUAAGUCUACAACCUGAGUCUCUUCUUCAGGGCUCUGCAAGUGGCUCUCUUGUGCCCAUCCAGCUCUGAGCAGAUUCUGCCCCCGAAUGUAGAGUGGUUUUCACCUUCCUGCUGAAGCCCAGGAAGAAUGUGCGGCAGGCUCCUGAACCCUGUGGAUCUCCACUCAGCACACUUCUAUUGGGCUCAGCGCAGUGACAGCUGUGACAAAUACCAUGGCAAUUUCCCAGAUAAGAUUGUAUCUGAGUAGGGGCUACAUUUCCUCCAAAGUUGCAGGGGCCAUUAUUAUUCUUUGGAGAGGAAUUCUGAGGAGGAAAUAGCUGAUUUAAAUGCCUGCUGUCAGUUGCCAAAGAAAUUGUUACAAAAUACUACCAAAACGAUGUGGAAAACUGCCCAUUGCUUUGGAUACCAUUAUUUUUCUUGUGCUCGCUCCCAUUCAUCAUCUGAGAUUUUCCUCUUUGUCAACCAGGUGCAUGAGGACGCCAGGGGCUCCUAACUCAGAGCUUAGUUUGUGUUCCUUUCUAUUCUGCAUUAUGGUUAUCCAGUCAUUCCUUGUGUCCUCUUUUUUUUCCUUUCUGGUAUUGGGGAUCAAACUUAGAACGUUGCACUUGCCAGGUAGGCUCGGUGGCACUGAGCUACAUAUCUGGCCCUUCUUGUGGUCUCUUUGGUUUGGUUUGUUUUUGAGACAGGGUCUUGUUAGGUAGCUCAAGGUAGCCUUGAACUUUCCGUGUAGCACAGGCUGACCUUGAACUUGCCUCACCUUAAUCUUCCUGACUCA